rnacentral:rRNA from 1 species
GAUGAACGCUGGCGGCGUGCCUAAUACAUGCAAGUCGAGCGAACUGAUUAGAAGCUUGCUUCUAUGACGUUAGCGGCGGACGGGUGAGUAACACGUGGGCAACCUGCCUGUAAGACUGGGAUAACUUCGGGAAACCGAAGCUAAUACCGGAGAGGAUCUUAUCCUUCAUGGGAGAUGAUUGAAAGAUGGUUUCGGCUAUCACGUACAGAUGGGCCCGCGGUGCAUUAGCUAGUUGGUGAGGUAACGGCUCACCAAGGCAACGAUGCAUAGCCGACCUGAGAGGGUGAUCGGCCACACUGGGACUGAGACACGGCCCAGACUCCUACGGGAGGCAGCAGUAGGGAAUCUUCCGCAAUGGACGAAAGUCUGACGGAGCAACGCCGCGUGAGUGAUGAAGGCUUUCGGGUCGUAAAACUCUGUUGUUAGGGAAGAACAAGUACAAGAGUAACUGCUUGUACCUUGACGGUACCUAACCAGAAAGCCACGGCUAACUACGUGCCAGCCGCCGCCGUAAGAC